AAAAACCCAGGUGGUGUGAGAUGGAUCCGCGUUUGAUUAGCCAGUUGGCGGGGUAACGGCCCACCAAAGCGACGAUCAGUAGCCGACCUGAGAGGGUGACCGGCCACAUUGGGACUGAGACACGGCCCAAACUCCUACGGGAGGCAGCAGUGGGGAAUAUUGCACAAUGGGCGGAAGCCUGAUGCAGCGACGCCGCGUGAGUGAAGAAGUAUCUCGGUAUGUAAAGCUCUAUCAGCAGGGAAGAAAAUGACGGUACCUGACUAAGAAGCCCCGGCUAACUACGUGCCAGCAGCCGCGGUAAUACGUAGGGGGCAAGCGUUAUCCGGAUUUACUGGGUGUAAAGGGAGCGUAGACGGCGACGCAAGUCUGGAGUGAAAGCCCGGGGCCCAACCCCGGGACUGCUUUGGAAACUGUGCUGCUGGAGUGCAGGAGAGGUAAGUGGAAUUCCUAGUGUAGCGGUGAAAUGCGUAGAUAUUAGGAGGAACACCAGUGGCGAAGGCGGCUUACUGGACUGUAACUGACGUUGAGGCUCGAAAGCGU
rnacentral:rRNA from 1 species